GCUUGGGUGUAGCAAUACAUCCGGGUGAGUAAAGUGGCGAACGGGUGAGUAACACGUAGCUAACCUACCCUCAAGUGGGGGAUAACCUGGGGAAACCUGGGCUAAUACCGCAUAACAUCCCGAUGACGCAGGUCGUUGGGAUCAAAGGCCUUGCAAGGGUCACUGGAGGAGGGGGCUGCGGCCGAUUAGCUAGUUGGUGAGGUAACGGCUCACCAAGGCGAUGAUCGGUAGCCGGCCUGAGAGGGCGCACGGCCACACUGGCACUGAAACACGGGCCAGACUCCUACGGGAGGCAGCAGUGGGGAAUUUUGCACAAUGCCCGAAAGGGUGAUGCAGCAACGCCGCGUGAGGGAUGAAGGCCUUCGGGUCGUAAACCUCUUUCGAUCGGGAAAAAUGGGCUGGUGAAGAGCCAGUUCUGAUGGUACCGGAUGAAGAAGCCCCGGCUAACUACGUGCCAGCAGCCGCGGUAAUACGUAGGGGGCGAGCGUUGUUCGGAAUUACUGGGCGUAAAGGGCGUGUAGGCGGUGCGGUAAGUUGGGCGUGAAAUCCCCGAGCUUAACUCGGGAGGGCCGUUCAAGACUGCCGUGCUAGGGUGCGGGAGAGGGAAGUGGAAUUUCCGGUGUAGCGGUGAAAUGCGUAGAUAUCGGGAG
rnacentral:rRNA from 1 species